rnacentral:rRNA from 1 species
UACGAAGGGAGCUAGCGUUGUUCGGAAUCACUGGGCGUAAAGCGCACGUAGGCGGAUUUGUAAGUCAGGGGUGAAAUCCCGGGGCUCAACCUCGGAACUGCCUUUGAUACAGCAAGUCUUGAGUUCGAGAGAGGUGGGUGGAAUUCCUAGUGUAGAGGUGAAAUUCGUAGAUAUUAGGAAGAACACCGGUGGCGAAGGCGGCCCACUGGCUCGAUACUGACGCUGAGGCGCGAAAGCCAGGGGAGCGAACGGG